UUGGUAGGUGGGAGAUUCAUUUACAAAAGAUUCAGAGCAAGUGAAAAACUAUAAAGCUUGGCUAUAUACCACAGAAUGGCUGAAUACUUCCCCAAAAUUAAUUUUGUUAUCCAAAUUGAAUACAUAUUUUCGUAUAUAGCAUCAUGAGCCCAGCAUAUAUACCAAGGUAAGCACGACAGAUAGAGUAGAUUUCAGUAGCUAGUUUCAGGACAAGUGACUCAGCCAGGAAGUCUUCCUCCCACUGUCACAGUUGAAAGCAUCAAGAUCAUCAACAUGGACCGACAUUUAAACAAUCGUGCAGUACACUAAGGUGUUUUUUGGUUUUCAGACAAUUAACAAAACUAUAAAGCGGAUCAUGUCACAGUUAUUUACUUGAUUUGUUUGCAGGAGAAUGUCAGCAAAAAAAGGAAUAAAUAAGAACCCUCUAGGGGGUCGCCCAAAGUCUUGGGCUCUUGGCCGCACAGUAAACCACGAGGAGCUCAAGCUCGUCAAACGUGUGUGGCGCGUGGGUGUGGGUUAGGACUGAGGUUGCUAUAUAUAUGAGGGCAUGAGACGUGAAAAACCAGCAGCCUUGAGAUGAUCUAAUAAAUACUAACCAAUGGGUUGUACCGGGACAGAGGAAAAUAAGAAAAUGUGACAAUCAAAUGUGGAGGGACGGAUAUGAUUCAACUGGAUAAAUUGGCCAUGCAUAUAGCACGGUAUCGUUGGACUCUGUGGCGGAGCAUGGCCUAAAAUCACAGAGCAAAUUUUCUCAAUGCUAUCUGUAAGACUAAGAACUGAGCCUUAUUUAACUAGAUCCAUGGCAAUGACUGAACAAAUACAUUAAUUGAGAAUGGUUUACCAAGUUCUAGACAUGAAAAACUAGUCAGACACAAACUUUGGAUAAUGCCUGAAUGAAUUUUAGUGUCGGUUCCCUUU
rnacentral:lncRNA from 1 species